rnacentral:rRNA from 1 species
UUGGAGGGCAAGUCUGGUGCCAGCAGCCGCGGUAAUUCCAGCUCCAAUAGCGUAUAUUAAAGUUGUUGCAGUUAAAAAGCUCGUAGUUGAAUUUCGGGGUCAGUAGAUUGGUCGUGCCACUGGUAUGUACUGGUCUUACUGGCUCCUCCUUCCUGAUGAACCGUAAUGCCAUUAAUUUGGUGUCGCGGGGAAACUGGACUGUUACUUUGAAAAAAUUAGAGUGUUUAAAGCAGGCUAACGCUUGAAUACAUUAGCAUGGAAUAAUGAAAUAGGACGUUCGAUCUUAUUUUGUUGGUUUCUAGGAUUGACGUAAUGAUUAAUAGGGAUAGUUGGGGGCAUUAGUAUUCAAUUGUCAGAGGUGAAAUUCUUGGAUUUAUUGAAGACUAACUACUGCGAAAGCAUUUGCCAAGGAUGUUUUCAUUAAUCAAGAACGAAAGUUAGGGGAUCGAAGACGAUCAGAUACCGUCGUAGUCUUAACCAUAAACUAUGCCGACUAGGGAUCGGAUGAUGUUAAUUUUUUAAUGACUCAUUCGGCGCCUUACGGGAAAC